rnacentral:rRNA from 1 species
AUUGAACGCUGGCGGCAGGCCUAACACAUGCAAGUCGAGCGGUAGAGAGGUGCUUGCAUCUCUUGAGAGCGGCGGACGGGUGAGUAAUGCCUAGGAAUCUGCCUAGUGGUGGGGGAUAACGUUCGGAAACGGACGCUAAUACCGCAUACGUCCUACGGGAGAAAGCGGGGGAUCUUCGGACCUCGCGCCAUUAGAUGAGCCUAGGUCGGAUUAGCUAGUUGGUGAGGUAAUGGCUCACCAAGGCGACGAUCCGUAACUGGUCUGAGAGGAUGAUCAGUCACACUGGAACUGAGACACGGUCCAGACUCCUACGGGAGGCAGCAGUGGGGAAUAUUGGACAAUGGGCGAAGACCUGAUCCAGCCAUG